rnacentral:rRNA from 1 species
UAGUCCACGCCGUAAACGAUGGAUACUAGCUGUUUGGACUUCGGUCUGAGUGGCUAAGCGAAAGUGAUAAGUAUCCCACCUGGGGAGUACGUUCGCAAGAAUGAAACUCAAAGGAAUUGACGGGGGCCCGCACAAGCGGUGGAGCAUGUGGUUUAAUUCGAUGAUACGCGAGGAACCUUACCAGGGCUUAAAUGUAGAUUGACAGGUUUAGAGAUAGACUUUUCUUCGGACAAUUUACAAGGUGCUGCAUGGUUGUCGUCAGCUCGUGCCGUGAGGUGUCAGGUUAAGUCCUAUAACGAGCGCAACCCCUGUGGUUAGUUGCCAGCGAGUAGUGUCGGGAACUCUAGCCAGACUGCCAGUGCAAACUGUGAGGAAGGUGGGGAUGACGUCAAGUCCUCAUGGCCCUUGAUGCCUAGGGGCUACACACGUGCUACAAUGGGUUGAUACAAAGAGUAGUGAAGCCGUAAGGGUGAAACCAAUCUCAAAAAAUC